rnacentral:rRNA from 1 species
CCUACGGGUGGCAGCAGUCGGGAAUAUUGGGCAAUGGAGGAGACUCUGACCCAGCAAUACCGCGUGAAGGAUGAAGGUUUUCUGAUUGUAAACUUCUGUUAUAAAGGGAGCAAAAAAUGACGGUACUUUAUCAGUAAACCCCGCCCAACUAUGUGCCAGCAGCCGCGGUUAUACAUAGGGGGCAAGCGUUGUCCGGAAUGACUGGGUGUAAAGGUUGUGUAGGUGGCUUAUUAAGUUAGCGGUGAAAGCCCGAAGCUCAACUUCGGAACUGCCUUUAAAACUGGUUGGCUUGAGUGUGGGAGAGGUUAGUGGAAUUCGUAGUGUAGCGGUGGAAUGCGUAGAUAUCAGGAAGAACAUCAGAGGCGAAGGCGACUAACUGGAACAUUACUGACACUGAAACACGAAAGCGUGGGGAGCGAACAGGAUUAGAUACCCGGGUAGUC